UACGUAGGGAGCAAGCGUUGUCCGGAAUCAUUGGGCGUAAAGCGCGCGUAGGUGGCCAUGUAAGUCCGCUGUGAAAGUCAAAGGCUCAACCUUUGAAAGCCGGUGGAUACUGCAUGGCUAGAGUACGGAAGAGGCGAGUGGAAUUCCUGGUGUAGCGGUGGAAUGCGCAGAUAUCAGGAGGAACACCAAUAGCGAAGGCAGCUCGCUGGGACGUCACUGACACUGAGGCGCGAAAGCGUGGGGGAGCGAACAGG
rnacentral:rRNA from 1 species